rnacentral:rRNA from 1 species
AUAGCAAUAUCUAUGGUGGCGACCGGCGCACGGGUGCGUAACGCGUAUGCAACCUACCUUUAACAGGGGGAUAACAGUUGGAAACGGCUGCUAAUACCGCAUAAGCGCACAGCAUCGCAUGAUGCAGUGUGAAAAACUCCGGUGGUAUAAGAUGGACCCGCGUUGGAUUAGCUAGUUGGUGAGGUAACGGCCCACCAAGGCGACGAUCCAUAGCCGACCUGAGAGGGUGACCGGCCACAUUGGGACUGAGACACGGCCCAAACUCC